CUGCAGCCCGAGUGGUGAUCGAUUUUAUUGAGCCUAAAGCGUCCGUAGCCGGACUAGUAAACCCUUGGGUAAAUUGGGCAGCUUAACUGUCCGAAUUCCGAGGGGACUGCUAGUCUUGGGACCGGGAGAGGUCAGAGGUACUCCAGGGGUAGGGGCUAAACCCGAUAUGCUUUCGUGGCAUUCGGUUAGCAUUCCUGUAAUCCUUGGGGGACCACCAGUGGCGAAGGCGUCUGACUAGAACGGAUCCGACGGUAAGGGACGAAACCCUGGGGCGCGAACCGGAUUAGAUACCCGCGUAGUCC
rnacentral:rRNA from 1 species